AAGGCUUGACAUAUAGGGAAAAGUGGCAGAGAUGUCAUGUCCGCAAGGGCUCUAUACAGGUGGUGCAUGGUUGUCGUCAGCUCGUGUCGUGAGAUGUUGGGUUAAGUCCCGCAACGAGCGCAACCCUCGUUCUGUGUUGCCAGCAUUUAGUUGGGGACUCACAGGAGACUGCCGGGGUUAACUCGGAGGAAGGUGGGGAUGACGUCAAAUCAUCAUGCCCCUUAUGUCUUGGGCUGCACGCAUGCUACAAUGGCCGGUACAGAGGGCUGCAAUACCGCAAGGUGGAGCGAAUCCCAAAAAGCCGGUCUCAGUUCGGAUUGAGGUCUGCAACUCGACCUCAUGAAGUUGGAGUUGCUAGAAUCGAGAUCAGCA
rnacentral:rRNA from 1 species